CUAAGUUCAGCGGGUAGUCCUGCCUGAUUUGAGGUCAGAGGUUCAAGUGUUUGCUACAAGAGCAAGACAUGUUGGAAGCGGUUCAAACACCCUUACUGUGGCCGCCCUGCCUACAAGGCCAGGCGUCCUCGACGAUAAUAACUUAUUACGCCGAGUAGAACCAGGUCAGAAUGGAUCCAGCUAAUGAUUUUGAAAGCGAG
rnacentral:misc_RNA from 1 species